AAAUGUUAUCUACCCAGAAAGUUCAUUAUAGACCCAAUGCCCAGAGUGUUUCUUUGUAGCUGUCUUAGCCUGUUUCUUGUUAUUCAUAACAGAAUUACUGAACCUCGGUAAUUUAUAAGAAACAGUAUUUAAUUUUUACAUUUCUGGAGGCUGGGAAGUCCAAGGUUAAGGCUGGGCAUCUGGUGAGAACCUUCUUGCUGGUGGGGACUCUGCAGAGUCCCUAGGCGGCAUAGAGUAUCACAUGGUGAGGGAGCUGAGUGUCUAGCUCAGAUCUCUUACUCUUCUCAGAAGGACAUGAGAUAGCUCAUUUAUUCAUUCACCCGUUACGGAUUAAUCUAUUCAUGAGGUCCAAACCCUUAGGACUACAUCACCUCUUAAACCUCACUUUUUUUUUUUUACUGCCACUUUGGAGAUUAACAUUCAGUGUGCAUUUUGGAGGGGACAACCAUUCAAACCUAGCAGUGGCUGAUCAGGUGCACUCCCUGUGCUGAGUAUGUAACAAAAUUCCAAACUCUCAGAAGGAAGAUGGGGUUAAGGAAAUACUGUAUUUUUUUUGCGUAAACAAUUUAGGCACACUCCACCCCUAUUAUUAGUUACGCUCCUGGGGCCCUCCCCUAAAUACACUGUCUAGAUACCAUGAAAAGCCCAACUUUGUGAAAAAGCAUUUGUAAGGACACACAGUCUCAGCACUGCUAAUGGUAACU
rnacentral:lncRNA from 1 species